AGCGAACGCUGGCGGCAGGCCUAACACAUGCAAGUCGAACGGACCCUUCGGGGUUAGUGGCGGACGGGUGAGUAACACGUGGGAACGUGCCUUUAGGUUCGGAAUAGCUCCUGGAAACGGGUGGUAAUGCCUAAUGUGCCCUUCGGGGGAAAGAUUUAUCGCCUUUAGAGCGGCCCGCGUCUGAUUAGCUAGUUGGUGAGGUAACGGCUCACCAAGGCGACGAUCAGUAGCUGGUCUGAGAGGAUGACCAGCCACACUGGGACUGAGACACGGCCCAGACCCCUACGGGAGGCAGCAGUGGGGAAUCUUGCGCAAUGGGCGAAAGCCUGACGCAGCCAUGCCGCGUGAAUGAUGAAGGUCUUAGGAUUGUAAAAUUCUUUCACCGGGGACGAUAAUGACGGUACCCGGAGAAGAAGCCCCGGCUAACUUCGUG
rnacentral:rRNA from 1 species